rnacentral:rRNA from 1 species
CAACUUUUAACAACGGAUCUCUUGGCUCUCGCAUCGAUGAAGAACGCAGCGAAAUGCGAUAAGUAAUGUGAAUUGCAGAAUUCAGUGAAUCAUCGAAUCUUUGAACGCACCUUGCGCUCUCUGGUAUUCCGGGGAGCACACCUGUUCGAGUGUCAU